UACCUCAACAGCUCAGCCGUGCCCAUGGACACCACCAACAGCGGCACGCAGCACGUCGCGAAGCUUGAGAAGCUGCUGUUCAGGAGGAUGCUGGUCGGUGUGAACAAUGGCCGCUGCUUCGUGGGGCUGUUCCAGUGCGUCGACAAGCAGGGGAACAUAAUCCUGCAGGGCACGGUGGAGUACCGCAGCGCGCGCCGUUCUUCUCCUCACAAGGAGGAGCGGUGCCUCGGCCUCAUACUGAUCCCGGCGUCCUGCCGCUCGUGCCAUGUCAACUGCUUCAUCGAAGAGCAUAUGUCCCUGCUGUCCCUGUGCAAGUGA
rnacentral:rRNA from 1 species